rnacentral:rRNA from 1 species
CAAUAGCGUAUAUUAAAGUUGUUGCGGUUAAAAAGCUCGUAGUUGGAUUUCUGCCGAGGACGACCGGUCCGCCCUCCGGGUGAGCAUCUGGCUCGGCCUAGGCAUCUUCUUGGGGAGCGUAUCUGCACUUCAUUGUGUGGUGCGGUAUCCAAGACUUUUACUUUGAGGAAAUUAGAGUGUUUCAAGCAGGCCCACGCCUUGAAUACAUUAGCAUGGAAUAAUAAGGUAGGACCUCGGUUCUAUUUUGUUGGUUUCUAGAAUUGAGGUAAUGAUUAAUAGGGAUAGUUGGGGGCAUUCGUAUUUAACUGUCAGAGGUGAAAUUCUUGGAUUUGUUAAAGACGGACUACUGCGAANGNAUUUGCNAAGGAUGUUUNCAUUG